rnacentral:rRNA from 1 species
UACAGAGGGGGCAAGCGUUAUUCGGAAUUAUUGGGCGUAAAGGGCGCGUAGGCGGCCUGACAAGUGGAAGGUGAAAUCCCUCGGCUCAACUGAGGAACUGCCCUCCAAACUGUUUGGCUUGAGACCGGGAGAGGUGAGUGGAAUUCCCAGUGUAGCGGUGAAAUGCGUAGAUAUUGGGAGGAACACCAGUGGCGAAGGCGGCUCACUGGACCGGUACUGACGCUGAGGCGCGAAAGCGUGGGGAG